CCUCGCCUGUUUUAACAAAAACAUGUCCUCUUGAUGAUAUUUUGAGGUCUGGCCUGCUCACUGACAAGGUUUUGAAGAGCCGCGGUAUUUUGACCGUGCAAAGGUAGCAUAAUCAUUAGUCUCUUAAUUAGGGGCUGGAAUGAAUGGCUUGACGAGAAAUCAACUGUCUCUUAAUAAUUUUUAGAAUUUAACUUUUGAGUCAAAAGGCUUAAAUUUUUCUUUAGGACGAGAAGACCCUAUAGAGCUUAACAUUUUAUUUUUAUAUAGUUUUUAGUUGAUCUUUCUAUAUUUAAUGAUAAUGUUUUGUUGGGGUGACAUGAAGAAUAAUUAAACUCUUCAUUAUAAAAUCAUUGAUUUAUGUUUAUCAUGAUCCAUAAUUUAUGAUCAUAAGAUUAAGUUACCUUAGGGAUAACAGCGUAAUUGUUUUCGAGAGCUCAUAUCGACAAAACAGAUUGCGACCUCGAUGUUGGAUUAAGAAAAA
rnacentral:rRNA from 1 species